GCUCCCAUAGCUUAACGGAUAAAGUACUUGUCUUCGGAACAAGUGAUGGGGGUUCAAUUCCCUCUGGGAGCA
rfam:Microgenomates (Roizmanbacteria) bacterium GW2011_GWA2_35_19 TR68_C0036, whole genome shotgun sequence.